rnacentral:rRNA from 1 species
AAUAGAUACCCGGGUAGUCCACGCUGUAAACGAUGGGUACUAGAUGUUGCAGGAAUUGACCCCUGCAGUGUCGACGCCAACGCAUUAAGUACCCCGCCUGGGAAGUACGGCCGCAAGGUUAAAACUCAAAGGAAUUGACGGGGGCCCGCACAAGCGGUGGAGCAUGUGGUUUAAUUCGAUGCAACGCGAAGAACCUUACCUGGGUUUGACAUCCCCAGACAGCCCUAGAGAUAGGGUUUCCUCUUCGGAGGCUGGGAGACAGGUGCUGCAUGGCUGUCGUCAGCUCGUAUCGUGAGAUGUCGGGUUAAGUCCCUUAACGAGCGCAACCCUUAUCCCUAGUUGCCAUCAUUCAGUUAGGCACUCUAAGGAGACCGCCGGCGUUAAGCCGGAGGAAGGCGGGGAUGACGUCAAGUCCUCAUGGCCUUUAUAUCCAGGGCUACACACGUGCUACAAUGGCGCAUACAAAGGGUAGCCAACCCGUAAGGGGGAGCUAAUCUCAGAAAGUGCGUCUCAGUUCGGAUUGAAGUCUGCAACUCGACUU